rnacentral:siRNA from 1 species
CUACGUCCCUGCCCUUUGUAC